UUAAGAAACCGGGUCGCUACCGGUAAGUCGUCGGACUGAUGUUCCCUGUUUAAGGACUGGCAUUAAUAAAUCUUUAUGUUUUGUUAAUGCCCCUUAUAUCACAGCAGAAACGGCGCACCG
rnacentral:sRNA from 1 species